rnacentral:lncRNA from 1 species
UCGGGUUGGGAGAUCCCGAGCCUGAGGCGAGCGUGGGCGGCACACACCUUCCCUUCCACUUUCAUCACCCCAGGGGUCAGGGAUCCGUCAAGGGCCAACGGAUGUUUCCUCCUUCCUCUGUAGCAGUCCCAGAGUCCUGACAUUGCCUAGCCAGAGUUUCUCGCGUCUGCCAGAGCAGCCGCUCCUCUAUCCAGGGCACUCAGAUUCCCAAGGAAACCCCCCUGAGGAGUUAGCAACCACCUACUAGUAGGUUUCGGUCCCAGGAUACUAAAGGUCAGGUAAAAAUGGGGAAAUGGGGGGAGGGUGUCUCUGAAAAGUACGUUGAUAAAACACCUAUUGUUGACUGAGUGUAUAUUACAUUGGAUUAAUGGAAUACGGCCUACUUAAACCUGGCUAUGGUUCCACCAUUAGUGGCUGUUGGCAAGCUGCCUCUGAAAAAUGAGGAUAAUAAAGGUUGAUUACUGCUCAGGGUUGCUCUGAGGUUUAAAUGCUAUAAUGCAUGUGAAAUGCUUAGUAUGGUACCUGAAAGUACUCAGUGUUAGAUAUUAUUACAUGGACAAAUGAAGUAAAAAAUAUGACCCGAAAAGACUUCAGGUCAACUUUCCUGAAUUGUGCAGAAAUAGGCAUCAAUCGCUUUUACUAACCAGGUUUACAGCUCUAUAUCCUGUCUCCACUUCUUCCAUUGUACUCAAUCAACAGAUUCACUGAAACUCGAACUGAGGGGACACAGUGGUGAGGGAAACAAACUGUCUGGCUUCUUGGGGCUGACAGUCUAGUGGGAAAAAGAGGGACAAAUAUUUCAUCACAUUUUCAGGGAAGCAUGCUAUAAAGGUUAUGAACAAAAUUUUGGAAAAGCAGAUACCAGGAUAGCUUUGAAAAAACUGGUCAGGAAAGGCCCAUCCGAGGGAUAAGGAGCCAAUAAUGAAAGAAAUGCCCUGGGGAAUUAUUUAAGAUAGAGGAAAUGGCUGUGCAAAGGACCUGUGGUAGGAAAGAACUUGGCUGUUGGAAUUGAGGGGAGUCUAUGGUGCAAGGAGGAGCCUGUCCUGAGAUUGGAGAGAUUGCUUCAGAGCUGCUGUCUCCUGGGCUUGGACAACGUGUCAGCAUCCGUCUUUGUCAUCACAAUCCCGGUGUUGCCCUGGGUGCUGGGUGCCUUGCAGAGCCAGCAGGCCAGCCCCAGGCAUGCCCUCUGGGUAUUUUGGCAGAAGACUGAAGGGGAACUAGAGAGACUGUUCAGAAUUAGACAAUAAAGAUAAAAGAGGGGCAGAAUCAGGCAAAGUGUUUUCAUUGGAAUCUUCCACUUUUAUGCUGAGAAGCAGGCAAGGCAAAAACUCUGGAUUCAGUUUGCAGGUGAGGAAACAGAGACCCAGAGAAAAGACACUAAUUGCCGGAAAACAUUCAGUGAUCAUGUGACAUUUGUCCUGGUGUUGACCUAUUCACAGAAGCAGGUAACAAAAUUCUGUUCUCUAGAAAGCAACAAUUGUAAUCUCUGUCACCAGAGAAUCCCAUACAAGGCCCCCGCCCCUUGACUAAGAAGAAAUGUUUUUGUCCUGCUUUCUCAUCCUUUUUCCAGCUGAGUCUGUAAAUACCUGCUACUCAGACACUCAGAAUAUUUCAGUGGCUCCAGAUUUUAAUCUGACCUUUGCACAGCCAUUUGCCUAUACUGUCAUGCCUGUAAUUAUAUAACUGCUUUAUUUUAAUGCCUGUAAAUAGGAGCUCAGUCAUCUAAGAAAAGUUCAGGAAAAGCAGAACCAUAGAACUAAAACUCAGUAAAACCAUUUCCCAUCUUAGUUCCCUAGCAUCCAUGAGGAUUCAGGUUCGAUCCCUGGUCUUGCUCAGUGGGUUGAGUAUGUGGCCUUGCCGUGAGCUGUGGUGUAGGUCGAAGAUGCAGCUUGGUUCCCGAGUUGCUGUGGCUGUGGUGUAGGUCGGCAGCCACAGCUCCGAUUUGACCCCUAGCCUGGGAACCUCCAUAUGCUGUGAGUGUGGCCCUAAAAAAAAAUACAAAAAAAAAAAAAAAUUCUCAAGUUCUUGUUGUGACUUCGAGGGUUAAGACCUGAUGUAGUGUCUGUGGGGAUGUGAGUUUGAUCCCUGGCUUUGCCAGUGGGCUAAGAAUCCAGUGCUGUGGUGCAGGUCAGAUCUGGUGUUGCCAUGGCUGUGCAUGAUUCGACCCCCAUCCUGGAAACUUCCAUAUGCCACAGGUCCAUCCAGCUGUAAAAAGAAAAAGAAAAAAAAAAUUUCUCUACAGCUUGAUUGAGGUAAAAUUGAUGUAUGAUAAAGUGCACUAUUUAAAGUGUACAGUUUAAUGAAUUUUAAUGUGUGUAUAUGCCUAUGAAACCACUACAGUCAAGAUCAGAGAUGGCUUUUCCAUCUCAGAGUCUAAAAGGGUGUGUGCUCCCAGUUCAAAACUAACUGGUAACAAAGUGAGACCUGGAGUUCCCGUCAUGGCUCAGCAGAAAUGAACCUGACUAGCAUCCAUGAGGCCACAGGUUCAAUUCCUGGCCUCGUUCAGUGGAUUAAGUAUCCGGUGUUGCCGUGAGCUGUGGUGUAGGUUGCAGAUGUGGCUUAGAUCUGGUGUUGCUGUGGCUGUGGCAUAGGCUGGCAGCUGUAGCUUCAAUUUGACCCCUAGCCUGGGAACCUCCAUAUGGCACAGGUGUGGCCCUAAAAGACUAAAAAAAAAGAAAGUGUGCCUUCCUCUUCUGAGUAACAAUACUGGCCCCUGCAGGGCCAUCUUUAUUUCAAUCUCUGUUAUCAUUGAAGAGGCAGCUCUCCAUUUGACCUCUAUGUGGCUUUUCCUUCUUGCCCACAGUUACAACAUUCUCUUUUCAGUUUCAGGUCCCUUUUUCUGCUAAAUCAUCCACUUCUUAUCUACAAGCCCCCUUUCAAUCUUAAAAAUGAACAAAAGCAAAACAAAAAAGUCAAUACUUCUUCCUGCCUCCUCCUCAUUCCUCCCUUCAGUCACUCAUGGCUCCCUCUCCUGCCCCCUAGUUAGUUCAUGGCCACACUUCCAGAAAUAGUUGCUCAUAUUCACUCUCUCCACAUCCUCACUUCCUCCUCUCCCUCAAAGCCACCCCGCCCCCUUGCUGCACAGAUACCUUUCUUGGCCAGGUCACUCACUAACCUCCCUGUUGUUGCUACAUCCCAUGAACCCAUCUCAGUCCUUAUCAUACUCUGACACCAUUGACCACUGUGUCCUUUGGUUGGUUGUUUUUACAAAAGUAACAGAUGCACUUUUUUUUUUUUUUUUUUAAGAGUCAAAUACUGAAUAAAAACAUUAAGACUCUCCCCCUGCCGCCCUACUGCAGACAGAGCCACUGUCACAAGAACCCUCAGCUACUAGACAGCCACCCCAGGUAGCUGCCCAAAGCAUAGCAUAGCCUCAGGAAGUCCCAGAAAUUAGUCCCUGUAGACUUCUAACUUGGGAAAAAUCUCUUACUUGCCCUAUCAUAAACACCAGAGAAGCUAAGAAAUGUUUAUAAACAAACACACAAAGAAAAAGAGAAGAAAGUGCAUAUAGUAACUCUCCAACUCUGGUUUCAAUAUGUCUUAAAGGUGACAUGGUGGCAGGGUCUGCAUGACUCAUCCCUGUCGGUCUCUCCAGGCAGGAAGCCUUUCUGGCCCUGGUUUUCCUGAUAGCAGCCCUUUGUUUUCCCCUUAUCCUUGGGAGAAUGAUAGGAAUGAAGAAUAUAGGGCCCCCGGGACCUUGUGAGGCUGACCUAGCAGCCAUCAAGGUUUAUAGUCUUGUAGACAAAUACACAAAAAUGGGUUUUUUAUGACCAGUGUUUUUUACCCAAGAUAAAGUACAAAGCAGGACAUAAGAAUCACCCACCCAAAUCUCACCAACCAGAAUAGCACCAUAACAGUUUUGGUGAGCAUAUUUAAAUGUGUCUCUAUUCUGUGUAUACACUUAGAGGUAUAUAUACAGUUUCACAUACAUGGGAUCAUGAUUUACAAGUUAUUCUGUAACUACUGUUUUCACUCGGAACAUGCAAUGGAUAGCUUUCCAGGUCAAUAACUAUAGACUAACACUGUGAUUGCUACUGCUCGCCUGCCAUUCAGAAUAUUUACGAGCCAUGAUUUACUCACCCAGCCUCUUAUUGUUGGGCAGUUAGGUGGUUCGCAUUUUUUGAUAUCAUAUACUACACAGUGAUAAACAUUCUGUGUUCAGCUUUUAGCUUUUGUACAAUUUUCUCCUCAGGCUAAUUUGUAGAAGUGGACUAGCUCCAUACAAUGGUGUGUACAUUUCACAUUUUGACACAGUUAGGCUAACUUCCUUCCAGAAAUGUUAUGCCAAUUUAUUUUCCCACCAACACUGAAUUUAAAAGCAUCUUUUCCCCGCGUGCGGCGUGUCUCGCCGCGCGUCCGGACCGGGGUCCGGUGCGGAGAGCCUUUUGACCUGGGAAACGGGGCGCGGCGGGAAAGCAAGGCCGCCCCCUCGGCCGCCCGUCACGCACCGCACAUUCGUGGGGAACCUGGUGCUAAACCGUUCGCAGACGACCUGCUUCUGGGUCGGGGUUUCCUACAUAGCAGAGCAGCUCCCUCGCUACGAUCUAUUGAAAGUCAGCUCUCGACACAAGGGUUUGU